AAAUCUUGAAUUGCGUAUAGAAACAAAACAAAACGAACCGCUUCUAUUCUCGGAGCUGAGGUAUAGAGCCUGAGCCUAUUCUCAUCAGACAGAAGACCGACCUCUGAACUUUCUAACUUCAGCUAGCUGACUGGUUUACUACUGGCUUUCAACCCUUGGGCAGCUAUCCUUGGCAUGCGUGCUACUGGCCCGCCUACUGAACUCCUACUGUCCUGCUACCAAGCAUUCUCUCUUUACUCGCCUAAGGGUGCACUAAGAAAGAUUGCUACAAGCAAUCAAUCAAAGCGAGCUUUCAUUUUAGCGUGUAUUUGAAAGAGUUGAAAAGCCUUUAUAUAGAAAGUGUUGAAAAAGGCAGGAACGUGAGUCUGGGGAGAAAUGGAACACUUAGUUCCUUUAAAUUAAAACUCGCCAUUCAAUUUCCUAACGCCUUGGGUCAUGUGAGCAUCUGGGCAUGCACGAACUUACCGCCUGAACAGGUUUACCGCGCUCAAAUGCAGUAAGUAAUCCCGGAGCAAAUGAACUCAAGAGUGAAGAGCACGGAUUGCAGCUGAAAUGAAUGGAAGGUUUUAGCCUUUGGAAGUUGGGGGUGAAACCAGUGGAAUUCUUUUUUUUAUUCUUUUUUAUUUAGGCAACUUAAUGACAAGCAGCGGACUGCCAAGUCGGAGUGGAACAUGUAAAAAGAUUUCUGAACCCCUUUCCCUAUGGUCAAGCUGUUUCACCCCUUUAAAUAUCUAAACUUAGACUUAGACAAAAAAAAUUGUGUUUUAUAGCAGAGCGUCUGGCCACACUUGCUAAUGGCGAUUGGAGAGUUUUAGUGAUACUACGGUGAAUCAUCUCACUAGAGAUAAAUCUGAUCAAAAUCCUUAGCGUUUCACACUAAGCAAGUAAACUACCUUCACCCCAGAACUAAUAAUGGAGAAUGGUAAUCCAACCGAUUUACGACUAUACCAGGAAUAAUUGGCUGAUAGAGAUAACACUGAUUUACUGGAUACGGGAGACUUUCCAGUUUCCGGAUGACCUCAAGAUUUGCUACUAAAAGAAGGCCGAUCUCGCCACGAGAAAGACGCACAGAAGAGGUAUGCCCAGCGCGCGGAGGAUCCGUUGAGAGUUUCUGUUGUCUCGGUAGGGAAUUCUUCAUUAUAGAUUGAGAUCUUCUUCGAACUUAAUGCACAAAUAGAUGGAAUAGCAGCAAAUAGCAUCUUUCUAGCAUGCAUAUUCGUGGAAGUAAAUCUCAUUAUGAAAGCUUACCACCACUUCGCCUCUUUGUUGGACUGCCGGCGCGAACACAGUGGUCUCUGACCAAAACCAGGAACCAAUUCGAAUUUGGAUCUUGAAUAUGAAUAAGUACUCGUGUAACGGCAGAUAAAGCCGCGAAGGCGUGCCCUUGUUCUUUGGUUGGAUUGUCUUUGUCUUUGGUGUACCCCCUCCUGGGGUUUACAACACGGCGAAACAAAAAGGUUCGAAUGAAAUCCAAUGAGAAAAAAUAAUAAGAAUUUUUAGGCUGUAUACCUAAUUUUCCUGGGAUUGUAGUUCAAUCAGUCAGAGCACCGCCCUGUCAAGGCGGAAGCUGCGGGUUCGAGCCCCGUCAGUCCCGACCUAAGAUCCGAUGAAUCAGGUCGAUCAAAAGGCGCAGAAAUUGCUAGAACUGAAUGCGGAAAGUAUGGAAAAAUAUCUCGUAAUGCCGCAUCUUCUGGUCUUGGUUCCUUUCGGACGUGCAGGUGGAUCCUAUUUCCUUCCUUCUUUUGUUCUGGUUCCCGUGCGUUUACUUGCAGCGUUUCGCUAUCCGCUGUUCUUCUAAGCGCUGUUCUAUAGAAGGUUAGAGUCUAAGAAGGAAAGCCCUCCUUCCUCUCUCGGGAGGCAGACCACGUUCCAAGCCACCUUGGCAGCCUUAGAGAUCCCAACUGCACCAUGCCAGAGGAAAGAUCUGAGAUCUGGUCAAUAACCUUGCACACCUCCCUUCGGCAAAUGAAAAUGCUACUCCAGUAGACCUGAAUACUGAACAACACUGAUCUGAUGAGCUGAUGCGAUCAGCGAUCUGCUCUUUGAGUGUAUCACUAACAGAUUGUACGACUCGGUCUUGGUAUUUCGUUUCGCAUUUAUCAUCGGACAAAUCAAGUCAAGGAUCCGAAGGAGAAUAACUAGUACCGAUUGAUGGGGGAGAGUUACUAUUACACAAGAGCUCAGCUGGCUUACUAAUAGAAAGAUGAACCCCUUGUGAGGAGUUCCCUCAAAUCGGGAUUAUAAAUAAAUUUUAUGAACCUAUUCCUGGUGAGUCUCUUAGAAUUCUUUUCUUAAAUUUAAUGCCAAAAAAUUUAAGUUUAAAAGAAAGGUUAAAAUGGGAUAAAAAUGUGGAGGAAACAGUGAGUUGUUACGAGGUAUAUCCGCUCGGCUCCUGUCGGGGAGCCUCACUCUCUUGCAGAGGAUUAAAAGGUUUAGGAUUCACCUUGACAACCGCCACACACAUUGGGUCAUUCACUCACUCCCGCAUUGGGCGUCCCUCCCCCCUACGCUUUUUGGGCAGAUUUUACCCUAUCUACACCCGGAGCCAAUCUCCUAUCGGUCCUGCCGCCACGCCGCAGAACGGGAGCUCGUGUGGAACCUUUUAUUUUUGGCGUAACAGCGGUGGCACGUAACAAAAUAUUACGGUCGACCUGCACUAUGAGCAAGCUGUGCGAAAAACCGCUUCUUUUUUCCGGUUUCGCAACAACUUGGGCGAAAUGGGGUUCUACCGGGAAACCAUGAGGUUCAAUAGCUAAAUACAUGGCAAUUGAAUCAUGAGCCGAGAUGAUCCUUGCACUUAGUUGGGAUUUUACGCGCGCUAACUUCCUCAGAAAGUGAAACUCUUUUGUGGACUAACUAAAAGGCUUGAAGACAAGACGGCAUUGGUUGUUCCAAGUGAGUUUAAAGAAUUCACGAGAGCUUUUAUGCUUGGGAUAGGUUAGACCUAUCUGUUUUCUUUAAUCCCCUUGGUUCCCUUUCCCCCUUCCCGCCUUAAACUAAGAAGUGUUGACACUCGGGUGGACUUCUUAUCGGGCCGAAAUGCGGAAGCUCGCUUUAUCAGACAACGACUUUAGAAAAGGAUGAAAGCUUUUGGACCUAGCUAAAGGACUUUAAGCCUUUGCGCAAGCAAGCGCGAGAGAAGCAAGCAAAGUAGAAGCUUUGCCAGAAGCAAGACGAGGAAGCGGAGCAAGCCCCCCGACCGACUAAAAUUCGAAAUGGUGAAUUGAGGUAGAGUAGACCGAUGAUCCUGUAGUCAUUUGGCCGGCUAUUGAAAGAAAAAGCAGCCUCUCUCUUGUGGGCUAACCAAUGCGCCCCUACUAACAGCUAUCUAAUGCAAAUAUCUCAUUUAUGAGCCAUAUUCGCCUGAAAGCUUAAAGGCAACUGAGAGCCAAGCAAGCAAACCGUAAGGCCCACUCGACCUGUAUGGAUUCCCCCAUUCACUCACUCCCGCAUUGGGCGUCCCUCCCCCCUACGCUUUUUGGGCUAGGGGGGGACGCCCUGAGUGCGUUCGUUCAUUCCCAACAGCAGAAAAUACAAUGUUUGCAGAUGCCCAUGCUUUGAUUCGAAAGCCCUAGCCAGUGAUGAAUCCCCAGUAAGAUCGGAGUAUUGAAUUUAUCCUCCCUUCAGUCCUGUUUGAACCCGUCCCAGCAACGACCACCUUCCUACUGCAAGGUGAGGCUCUGCCCUUCCCCUAGAAUCCACUCCGGGUCGGAGGAGCUGCUAGUCCAACUUCUUGAGCAGCCGAGAUAUUGAACAACGAACAUUGAAUUCCUUGCCUCACCCUGAGAUGAGAGGGGAGGGGUGCGCUUCCUUCCGGAAAAAAAAGUGGUUCUUACCUUCCUGUACGAGUAGUGAAGAACUAUAGAGAGCUGUGGUUGGUUGUUGACCAACGGAAAGCAUGGAAAAAAAGAAAAAGGAAUCAUGAAACGCCACUGCUCCAUGCAAGUAAGAUUCUCACUCCCUCUAGGUAGAUCUCACUUGAUGGAUUGUGUAAUUCCAAAAGGGAUUCUAGGAUUUGAUUCCUCCCUUUGGCAAAGACUUAUUUGCAUACCUAUUCCGGUUGAUCCACACCAUACUGUAUUCUCGUAAGAUGAUACACACUAGCUAACAAUCCGCCUGGUGCUCGGCUAACCACUAAGUCGCUCAUGCACAAAUUCUUACAAAAAGGGGAGCCCCGCGAAGGGUGGAGAUGAAUCUAUAUCUGUCAAUCACAAGAGCUAUAGGGCUUUUGGGCAUUAUUAAGAAAAUGGACUCUCCACCUAUUUCAUUGUGUGCUUACUCCCCUUCUGCGCUAUCAAAUAUCAUAGCAUAGUAUAUAGCGUAAGACUUUGCUUGCUCCGAGCAAUCUUGUUAAGGAAGGGCGGCUAGGGUGGGAAAAAUGCAGAAGAAUGAAAUUCCAAAGAAGGAGAUAAGAAGGAAGACUCUUCGUUGUUGAAUGCGGGUCACUACAUAAGCGAAUGAUCUUCGCUUCUCGGGAACAACAAAAACCACCAUCUCGCUCUUUCCUUUUUUCGGUGCUACCUUUUUCUUUCCAAGGGAUGGGAUUGGGAUGUAUAAUAACCUUUUUUUUGAGGAUCGGUCCGUAGAACCUAUAAAAAAGAGAUGGUUGUGGCGCGAAGUACUCUUGUGCACCUACGUCACAUUAUCUGUGAAAAGGGGGGUAAAGAGUAGGAUAUAAUUCCCAGCAGGAGGAUCCUUCUUUCGUUUCGCAUUUAUCAUCGGACAAAUCAAGUCAAGGAUCCGAAGGAGAAUAACUAGUACCGAUUGAUGGGGGAGAGUUACUAUUACACAAGAAGACUGAUAAGAUCUAUUAAAUAUCUAUAAAAUGCUAACUCCUUAUCCCACUCAUGACACUCUUGACCUGGAAAAUCCCCCUUGGAAUACCUUAUAAGCUGGGGGGGCAAUCGGUUUGAUUAUCAGCUGCUCCCCGCUCAUCAGCGAAUGGGAGCCCGGAGAAAGGAAUGGAGAAAUUGUUGGAAAUGGAAAAGAAACCUGAGCAAUCGACCAAUUGGGCCCAAAUAGUAGACAAAAGUGCGGUCUUUAUCAAAGGGAUUGACCUUCAUUUCAUUAAGUAAAAAGUAUCAAAAUAUAGAGUCAAGAUAGAUCACUAUCUAUCACAUACCCCUAAUUUCGCAUUUUAGCUAAUCCUUACGUUACGUCUCCUGCUUGUCUAUGUGAAACAAUCAGAAGAUAGUCUAUUACAUUAAAGACAAUUAUCUUUUCAUACGAAAGAAUGCUGCUCGACGAGCCUCUCCCUGAAGAAAAAGACACUCCGGCCUAACAUAACAGCACUUUCCUUACCCGUUGUGCUCUGUCUGAGAUAAGGAGCAAAAGGCUAGACGGAAGACCUCUAAUCUACCAAUCAAUCUAGCUAGCAUCCUAUGAUUUUUGUGCUAUUAAGGAAGGAGCCAACUCAGAAAUGGUAAGCCAAGGGUUCAAGCAAUUCUUUAAUGAAGUCUUGAUUGAGCUCAAACUGGAAGCAACUAGUUUUGAGCUCGUUCGAGGAAUAAGCAAGCCAUGC
rnacentral:lncRNA from 1 species